UGAUAUACGCUCGUGCUCAAAGGUUAAGCCAUGCAUGUCUAAGUACAAGCUUCCUAGAAAGUGAAACCGCAUAAGGCUCAGUAUAACAGCUAUAAUUUACAAGAUCCUCAUCCAAACAGUUACUUGGAUAACUGUGGAAAAGCCAGAGCUAAUACAUGCAUUAUGCCGGGACUGUUGGCCUCCGGGUCGGCGGAACUGGUGCACUUAUUAGUUAAACCAAUCGCCUCCGGGCGCUUUGAGUUGAAAUCUGGAUAAGGAUGCCGAUCGUACGGUCGCUUGCGACUGACGACAGAUCUUUCAAAUGUCUGCCCUAUCAACUAUUGAUGGUAGUGUAGAGGACUACCAUGGUUGCGACGGGUAACGGGGAAUCAGGGUUCGAUUCCGGAGAGGGAGCCUGAGAAAUGGCUACCACAUCCAAGGAAGGCAGCAGGCGCGUAAAUUACCCAAUCCCGGCACGGGGAGGUAGUGACGAGAAAUAACAAUAUGGACCUCUCUAACGAUGGUCCAUAAUUGGAAUGAGUUGAGCAUAAAUCCUUUUGCAAGGAUCAAGUGGAGGGCAAGUCUGGUGCCAGCAGCCGCGGUAAUUCCAGCUCCACUAGCGUAUAUUA
rnacentral:rRNA from 1 species